rnacentral:rRNA from 1 species
UUUUUAUAGUUUUAUUAUUUUUAUAUGGGUAUAUUAAUUAUUAAAUCAAUAAAAUUAUUAGUUUGGGGUGAAUUUAAAAUAUAAAAAACUUUUUAUUAUUAAAAUAAUAAUUUUUAAUUUAUUGAUCCAAUUUUUUGAUUAUAAGAUUAAGU